GACUGGUUGUGGCUCCAAACUCUCUGCUCCUUGUUCCCUGCCGACUCCUCCUGGUUUGUCUCUCUUCCUGGUUCCCUGAGGAGUCCUUCGAGUCUCAGCUUACUCGUUGUUGUCCCAACUCUCUGCUCCUGGUUCUGUGCGGAGUCCUCCUGGUUUCUUUCUCUCCUGGGUUGCCUGCGGAGACCUCCUGGUCUCAGCUGACUGGUUGUGGC